AGAGUGAACGCUGGCGGUAGGCCUAACACAUGCAAGUCGAACGGCAGCACAGUAGGAGCUUGCUCUUACGGGUGGCGAGUGGCGGACGGGUGAGGAAUACAUCGGAAUCUACCUUUUGGUGGGGGAUAACGUAGGGAAACUUACGCUAAUACCGCAUACGCCCUUCGGGGGAAAGCCGGGGACCAGCAAUGGCCUGGUGCUGAUAGAUGAGCCGAUGUCGGAUUAGCUAGUUGGUGAGGUAAUGGCUCACCAAGGCGACGAUCCGUAGCUGGUCUGAGAGGAUGAUCAGCCACACUGGAACUGAGACCACGGUCCAGACUCCGUACGGGAGCAGCA
rnacentral:rRNA from 1 species